ACUUAAAUAGCUUAUGGUUUAGAGCGCGACGCUGAAGAUGUCGAUGAGGUAUUAUGUGCCUUUAGGUG
rnacentral:tRNA from 1 species